rnacentral:rRNA from 1 species
UACGGAGGUGGCAAGCGUUGUUCGGAAUUACUGGGCGUAAAGGGCGCGUAGGCGGCUUGGCAAGUCAGAUGUGAAAGCCCCGGGCUCAACUCGGGAAUUGCAUCUGAAACUGCCUGGCUUGAGUCCUGGAGGGGGCAGUGGAAUUCCCAGUGUAGCGGUGAAAUGCGUAGAUAUUGGGAGGAACACCGGUGGCGAAGGCGUCUGCCUGGACAGUGACUGACGCUGAGGUGCGAAAGCUAGGGGAGCAAACGGG